rnacentral:rRNA from 1 species
UGGGGAAACGAUAGAGAAAGCUUGCUUUUUCUAGGCGUCGACCGGCGCACGGGUGAGUAACGCGUAUCCAACCUGCCCAUCACUUGGGGAUAACCUUGCGAAAGUAAGACUAAUACCCAAUGACGUCCAUAGAAGACAUCUGAAAUGGAUUAAAGAUUUAUCGGUGAUGGAUGGGGAUGCGUCUGAUUAGCUUGUUGGCGGGGUAACGGCCCACCAAGGCGACGAUCAGUAGGGGUUCUGAGAGGAAGGUCCCCCACAUUGGAACUGAGACACGGUCCAAACUCCUACGGGAGGCAGCAGUGAGGAAUAUUGGUCAAUGGGCGAGAGCCUGAACCAGCCAAGUAGCGUGCAGGAUGACGGCCCUAUGGGUUGUAAACUGCUUUUAUAAGGGAAUAAAGUGGGAGUCGUGACUCCUUUUGCAUGUACCUUAUGAAUAAGGACCGGCUAAUUCCGUGCCAGCAGCCGCGGUAAUACGGAAGGUCCGGGCGUUAUCCGGAUUUAUUGGGUUUAAAGGGAGCGUAGGCCGGAGAUUAAGCGUGUUGUGAAAUGUAGACGCUCAACGUCUGCACUGCAGCGCGAACUGGUUUCCUUGAGUACGCACAAAGUGGGCGGAAUUCGUGGUGUAGCGGUGAAAUGCUUAGAUAUCACGAAGAACUCCGAUUGCGAAGGCAGCUCACUGGAGCGCAACUGACGCUGAAGCUCGAAAGUGCGGGUAUCGAACAGGAUUAGAUACCCUGGUAGUCCGCACGGUAAACGAUGGAUGCCCGCUGUUGGUCUGAAUAGGUCAGCGGCCAAGCGAAAGCAUUAAGCAUCCCACCUGGGGAGUACGCCGGCAACGGUGCAACUCAAAUGAAUUGACGG